rnacentral:rRNA from 1 species
CGCGGCCUAUCAGCUUGUUGGUGAGGUAACGGCUCACCAAGGCAACGACGGGUAGCUGGUCUAAGAGGAUGGCCAGCCACAUUGGGACCGAGACACGGCCCAGACUCCUACGGGAGGCAGCAGUGGGGAAUAUUGCGCAAUGGACGAAAGUCUGACGCAGCGACGCCGCGUGUGGGAUGACGGUCUUCGGAUUGUAAACCACUGUCGGGAGGGACGAAUAUGCCGCAAGGCGGGUGACGGUACCUCUAAAGGAAGCACCGGCUAACUCCGUGCCAGCAGCCGCGGUAAUACGGAGGGUGCGAGCGUUGUCCGGAAUCACUGGGCGUAAAGGGCGCGUAGGCGGCCUGAUAAGUAGGGGGCGAAAUCCUGCGGCUUAACCGCAGGGCUGCCUUCUAAACUGUCGGGCUCGAGCGCAGUAGAGGCAGGUGGAAUUCCCGGUGUAGCGGUGGAAUGCGUAGAGAUCGGGAAGAACAUCAGUGGCGAAGGCGGCCUGCUGGGCUGUUGCUGACGCUGAGGCGCGACAGCGUGGGGAGCAAACAGGAUUAGAUACCCUGGUAGUCCACGCCGUAAACGAUGGACACUAGGCGUCGGGGGGAACGACCCUCCCGGUGCCGUCGCUAACGCAGUAAGUGCCCCGCCUGGGGAGUCGG